GACAGAGGGGGCAAGCGUUGCUCGGAAUCACUGGGCGUAAAGGGCGCGUAGGCGGGAAGCCAAGUCGGUCGUGAAAUCUCCGGGCUCAACCCGGAGGAGUCGGCCGAAACUGGUUUUCUUGAGGGAGGCAGAGGAGUCUGGAAUUCCCGGUGUAGCGGUGAAAUGCGUAGAGAUCGGAAAGAACACCAACGGCGAAAAGCACUCUGCUGGGCCGACACUGACACUGAGAGACGAAAGCUAGGGGAGCGAAUGGG
rnacentral:rRNA from 1 species